rnacentral:rRNA from 1 species
UACGUAGGGGGCAAGCGUUGUCCGGAAUCAUUGGGCGUAAAGAGCGUGUAGGCGGUUCGAUAAGUCGGCUGUGAAAGUCCAGGGCUCAACCCUGGGAUGCCGGUGGAUACUGUCGGACUAGAGUACGGAAGAGGCGAGUGGAAUUCUCGGUGUAGCGGUGAAAUGCGCAGAUAUCGGGAGGAACACCUAUUGCGAAGGCAGCUCGCUGGGACGUCACUGACGCUGAGACGCGAAAGCGUGGGGAGCAAACAGG